rnacentral:rRNA from 1 species
GACGAACGCUGGCGGCGUGCUUAACACAUGCAAGUCGAACGGAAAGGCCCUGCUUUUGUGGGGUGCUCGAGUGGCGACCGGGUGAGUAACACGUGAGUAACCUGCCCCUGACUUUGGGAUAACUUCAGGACACUGGGGCUAAUACCGGAUAGGAGCUCCUGCUGCAUGGUGGGGGUUGGAAAGUUUCGGCGGUUGGGGAUGGACUAGCGGCUUAUCAGCUUGUUGGUGGGGUAGUGGCUUACCAAGGCUUUGCCAGGUAGCCGACCUGAGAUGGUGACCGGCCACAUUGGGACUGGGAUGCGGCCCGGACUCCAACGGGAGGCAGCAGUGGAGAAUAUUGCACAAGGGGCGGAGGCCUGAUGCAGCAACGCCGCGUGCGGUAUGACGGCCAUCGGGUUGUAAACCGAUUUCGCCUGUGACGAGGCGUGAGUGACGGUAAUGGGUAAAGAAGCACCGGCUAACUACGUG